rnacentral:rRNA from 1 species
UAGGGAAUCUUCGGCAAUGGACGAAAGUCUGACCGAGCAACGCCGCGUGAGUGAAGAAGGUUUUCGGAUCGUAAAACUCUGUUGUUAGAGAAGAACAAGGACGUUAGUAACUGAACGUCCCCUGACGGUAUCUAACCAGAAAGCCACGGCUAACUACGUGCCAGCAGCCGCGGUAAUACGUAGGUGGCAAGCGUUGUCCGGAUUUAUUGGGCGUAAAGCGAGCGCAGGCGGUUUCUUAAGUCUGAUGUGAAAGCCCCCGGCUCAACCGGGGAGGGUCAUUGGAAACUGGGAGACUUGCGUGCAGAAGAGGAGAGUGGAAUUCCAUGUGUAGCGGUGAAAUGCGUAGAUAUAUGGAGGAACACCAGUGGCGAAGGCGGCUCUCUGGUCUGUAACUGACGCUGAGGCUCGAAAGCGUGGGGAGCAAACAGG